GACGAACGCUGGCGGCGUGCUUAACACAUGCAAGUCGAACGGAAAGGCCCUGCUUGCAGGGUACUCGAGUGGCGAACGGGUGAGUAACACGUGGGUGAUCUGCCCUGCACUUCGGGAUAAGCCUGGGAAACUGGGUCUAAUACCGGAUAGGAGCCAUUCUUAGUGUGAUGGUUGGAAAGUUUUUUCGGUGUAGGAGGAGCUCGCGGCCUAUCGGCGGGUUGGUGGGGUAGGGGCCUACCAAGGCGGGGACGGGUAGCCGGCCGGAGAGGGGGGCGGGCCAAAUGGGGAUGGAGAGACGGCCCAGACUGCUACGGGAGGCAGCAGGGGGGAAGAGUGAACAAGGGGCGGAAGCCUGAUGCAGCAACGCCGCGUGAGGGAUGACGGCCGUCGGGUUGUAAACCGCGUUCGCCGGUGACGAAGCGGGAGGGACGGGAAUGGGUAAAGAAGCACCGGCUAACUACGGG
rnacentral:rRNA from 1 species